UACGGAGGAUCCAAGCGUUAUCCGGAUUUAUUGGGUUUAAAGGGUGCGUAGGCGGUUUUAUAAGUUAGAGGUGAAAAUUCGGGGCUCAACUCCGGACGUGCCUCUAAUACUGUAUGACUAGAGAAUAGAUGCGGUAGGCGGAAUGUAUGGUGUAGCGGUGAAAUGCUUAGAUAUCGCGCAGAACCCCGAUUGCGAAGGCAGCGUACCGGCUCCACACUGACGCUGAGGCACGAAAGCGUGGGUAUCGAACAGG
rnacentral:rRNA from 1 species